rnacentral:lncRNA from 1 species
AUAGAAUAAAGGGUAUGUGAAAACACCUGUGAGAAGGCAGCCACCUGCAAACCAGAAGGAGAGGCAUCACCAGAAACCAACCCUGCAGUCGUCUUGAUCUUGGACUUUCAUAUUCCAGAACGUUUAUAUGACUGGAUUUAUGAAUUAGUCCAUGGUUCAACUGCAAGCCACCAGACCUCAAGAUCUGCUCUGAAACCAGGGAUUUAAGACAUUUAAGAUAAUAGAUUGUUAAAAUUGCAGGGCCGGACACAAUGGCUCAUGCCUGUAAUCCCGGCACUUUGAGAGGCCUAAGUAGGCGGAUCACUUGAGGCCAGGAGUUCAAGACCAGCCUAGGCAACAAGGUGAAACCCCAUCUCUACUAAAAAGAAAAAAUUCAAAAAUCAGCCAGACAUGUUGGUGGGUGCCUGUAAUCCCAGCUACUCUAGAGGCUGAGGCAGGAGAAUCGCUAAAACCAGGAGGCAGAGGUUGCAGUGAGCUAAGAUUACGUGACUGCAUGACUGCAUGCUAGCCUGGGUGACAGAGCGAGACUCUAUCUCAAAAAAAAAAAGAAAAGAAAAAUCCAAUAAAUCAAAAUAUAAUUGCUAUAGUAUUUAAAGUCAGUAAAUUAAUGACUUUUAUUUGUAAUAAAUAUAACUGUUUAAUUCAGAAACAUAAUAUACAAAACAUUAUUUUUAAGUUUAAUGAAAUAACACAUAUUUAAAUAGUAAAAUGAUUGGCAUAAAAUAGUAGCAGUAGUUGUAGGAGUAAUUGCCAAUGUUAAUAGAGUGGUUGCUAUUCUAGAUGCUUUAAGAAUAUAAUUUUGUUAGUCCUCCAAUCAUUCAUAAUAUAUAAUAUUAUUCAUUCUAUUUUACAGAUGAGAACUUUAAGGGAAUUUAGGUAACUUGAACAAAAUCCAGAUUUCGUGCCAUUGUAGACUGGAUCCAAGGGACAUACACUAAACCAUUAGAAAUAUACAAUGAAGUAGCAUUUACACAUACUGAUUUAAAUAUUUCCGCAGCCUAUAAUUUUAAAGGGCCCCACAAUUUACCUUUCUUAUCUUAAUAAGAACUAGGGUUAUGUUACCUUUAUGUGAGACAUACUAGUAGAAUCAGCAGUUAAAAUGUAUUUCGUGCACAUAGUAUGAAUUCCAUGAAUUUAAUAUUUUUGAUCCUUUGAAUGUUCUAAAUUAGAAAAAUCUUCCAGGCAUUGUGACACAUACAAAUAUGAGCCAUUCAUCCUUAAGGUUUUCUUUGGAUGGGAGUUGGUGUAAAACAGGUAAAACAUUGAGACUUCUGAAAUUGAUUGCUAUAAUUCUCCCAUGAAAAUAAACCAAAGGAAAUCUCAAAAUGUUAACUAUAUACUGGUUUUAGUUUUUAAAAAAUUUACAAGGUUUUCCAUAAAAACCAGUAAUUGAGCUAAUAAAAGUUAUGUAGCUAUUAAUAAUGAGCCAGUCAAUGGAAGGUAAACCCUUGGCUCUUAUGAAACAUCAUGUCAAUUGAUAACUUGAGGCCCAAACUUACAACAGAAUCUCCUAAAAGAAAGAACAGUGGCCUGCAAAGAUGAAACAUUAAUAAUAUUUAGUUAAGUCUCAUUUAUGCCAGAGAAAAAAUAUCUUGACUUGGAUUAUUUUUACCUAGGCCAACAGUGGUAGAAUGGGGGAUUAUACAACUUAGUGCCAUUUCUAUCCCAUAUUUUUGUAAAUAAUAAAUUUAUUCAUAUUCAUCAUGGUUAUAUUUAUAAGGAGAAAUAUUAUAUUUCCCCUUUGUCUCCAAAAUUACCUAUCAAAAUUUAUUUCUAUCAUUUUUUUCAUUUUAAGUUUUCACAGGUGUUGUCACCCAUACAAUUUUUCCACCCCAGCUCUCUUUCUCUUCUCUAUUUCCAGUAUCAAAACAUUCCUCUUCUUUAUAAA